ACCCGCCGAACUUAAGCAUAUCAGUAAGCGGAGGAAAAGAAACUAACUAGGAUUCCCCGAGUAGCGGCGAGCGAAAGGGGAGAAGCCCAGCGCCGAAGCCCGCGGCCCCCGGCCGCCGUGCAAUGUGGCGUUUCGGCGGCGGCACGGCGCCACCGUUCUGGCACGCGUACCAUUGAAUGGGUCUGCCCGUAGCGGGUGUCAGGCCUCUAGGUGCCGAGCGGACGGUGCGCGUCACGGUCGUCGUCGCGGAGUCGGGUUGCUUGAGAGUGCAGCCCAAAGUGGGUGGUAAGCUCCAUCUAAGGCUAAAUACCUAGUGCGAGACCGAUAGCAAACAAGUACCGUGAGGGAAAGUUGCAAAGAACUUUGAAAAGAGAGUUCAAGAGUACGUGAAACCGUUCAGAGGCAAACGGACGGAACUGGGCGAGUUCGCCGCCGUCAUUCAGCCGGCGCGCUCUCGGGCGCGACGGUGCACUUGGCGGCGGCGGAGCGCGACGACCGCCUGUCGAGGCGUCUGAAGCCCGGCGGCAAGGUGGCGACGCGCUUGCGCGUCGUGUUAGAGGCCGCCGCGGCGUCGACUGGCUCGGCGGGCGAGGAGCGCCUGCGGUGCCCUCCCCCUGUGGGAGCGGCUCGCGCGUGUGGGCCCGCGGACGCCGGCGGCGAACUGCUCGCAGUUUGUCGUUUGCGCGUGCCGCUCGUCUCGCCGCGCGAGGCCGCGGGCACCCGGGGUCCGGGUCGUGUGGUUCCUGGCACUCCGUCCGACCCGUCUUGAAACACGGACCAAGGAGUUGAGCACGUGCGCGAGUCGAUGGGCUCUUCGAACCCCAGUGGCGCAGCUAAGGCAAAACGGGCGUGAUCCGGCACUGGCGUGUCGGCGCAACGCCGGCCCGCGGCCGACUCGAUGCAAGUGGCCGCGGCGCAAGAGCGUGCGUGCUCAGACCCGAAAGGUGGUGAACUAUGCUUGAGCAGGGCGAAGCCAGAGGAAACUCUGGUGGAGGCUCGCAGCGAUCCUGACGUGCAAAUCGGUCGUCAAACUUGAGCAUAGGGGCGAAAGACUAAUCGAACCGCCUAGUAGCUGGUUCCCUCCGAAGUUUCCCUCAGGAUAGCUGGCACUCGGGAUAAAUGGUUUUAUCCGGUAAAGCGAAUGAUUAGAGGCAUUGGGGACGAAACGUCCUCAACCUAUUCUCAAACUUUAAAUGGGUAAGAGGCGCGACCCUUCCUGAUACGGGGUCGCGUGCUCGAACAGAGAGUGCCCAGUGGGCCGUUUUUGGUAAGCAGAACUGGCGCUGUGGGAUGAACCAAACGUGCGGUUAGGGUGCCUAACGCACGCUCAUGAGACACCACAAAAGGUGUUGGUUGAUAUAGACAGCAGGACGGUGGCCAUGGAAGUCGGAAUCCGCUAAGGAGUGUGUAACAACUCACCUGCCGAAUCAACUAGCCCUGAAAAUGGAUGGCGCUGGAGCGUGCGACCCAUACCGCACCGUCGGGGCAACGCGUGCGAAAUGCCAGGCCCCGAUGAGUAGGAGGGCGCGUCGGUGGCGUUGAAGCGUAGUGCGCGAGCACGCGUGGAGCCGCCCUCGGUGCAGAUCUUGGUGGUAGUAGCAAGUAUACAAAUGAGAACUUUGUAGACCGAAGUGGAGAAGGGUUCCAUGUGAACAGCAGUUGGACAUGGGUCAGUCGGCCCUAAGAGAUCGGAAAACUCCGUUCUGAACGGGGAGUACAGGCGGAGGUGAGCCGCGGGGCUUUGAGCGCCGCGGGGGAGCGAGGGCAGAGCUGCGAAACUCAGAGCGUAAGUCGCGCCGUGCACGCGACCGGACGUUGAGCGCGCGCGCCGUCAAAGCAGGGUGUGGACUCUCAGGAAUUGACGGAUUAGCGCGGCGCCGCGCCCGGCCGGCCGCGGGCUGCCCGCCGACCCGAAAGCGCGUCGUCCCUGUCGUAGCGGGGGCGCGCGCGGGUCUGCGGGCGGCGGCGCGACGACGUAGACGCCGCCGGCAGCAUAGCUCUCUAUUGAACGCGCUUCCCCGCCAAGGCGCCGCUUUACCACCCAUGCCCGUGCCAGUGACAGGGCGGCCACCGCCGGUGAGCAGGUACCCCCGAUGCGAUCGAAAGGGAAUCGGGUUAAUAUUCCCGAACCUGGCAGUGGAGAUUGGGCCCUCGGGCCCCAGUGCGGUAACGCAACCGAACUCGGAGACGCCAGCGUCGAUCCCGGGAAGAGUUCUCUUUUCUUUGUUAGGAGCGGACUCCCUGGAAUUGGCUUGUCCAGAGAUAGGGACGUUGCAUCCGUAAAGCGUCGCGCCUCACGCGGCGUCCGGUGCAUCGGCGCUGGCCCUUGAAAAUCCGAGGAAGGCAGUGUAAUUUUCACUCCAGGCCGUACCCGAAUCCGCAGCAGGUCUCCAAGGUGAACAGCCUCUGGUCGAUAGAACAAUGUAGGUAAGGGAAGUCGGCAAAUCCGAUCCGUAACUUCGGGACAAGGAUUGGCUCUGAGGUGCGGGCUGCUUCGGGUCGCGGCAAGAAGCGGACCGUGCGUUGGCUGGACUGAGCGUGCCUCGACCGGCGCGCUCGGACCGCCGCCAGCGCGCGUCCGUGGGCGGCCGUUGCUUUCGCCGGCGUCGGCCUCGGCCGGCGUCGGCUUCGUUCGGCCUAAACGCACAGCACAGAACUGGCACGGACUCUGAGAACACGACUGUCUAAUUAAAACAAAGCAUCGCGAUGGCCGCUGGUCGGUGUUGACGCGAUGUGAUUUCUGCCCAGUGCUUUGAAUGUCAAAGUGAAGAAAUUCAACCAAGCGCAGGUAAACGGCGGGAGUAACUAUGACUCUCUUAUCUUAUCCUUAGGAGGACUCAUUACUCAGACAGGGCUGUCAUGUGGCCACGACCGGACUUCGAACGGUCGAGGGGCUGAGCCGGCUGUCGGAAGGCCGGGACCAAGAUUCAGGGUCAGAUAUGGAUCCGGGCAGUGAGCAACCUCUGGACCAACCAGAUGCCUCCCUGUAACUCCCGAUGACAAGCCCAGAUCUCUUGUUUUAUGCUGAUUGGGGGCGGUGCCUUGUCGAGUAGUACAAAGACUGGUAGUGGAAGGAUACCACGUAAUACAUUCCAUGUCGCUUGGCUAGACAGCACUUGUCAGGAUCACUCCGCUGACACUGGACUGGUUGGUUUUAGUUUGAGCAGUCGUCAGUGGGCCUGUCAACUAAACCCACCCCUAACGGGCGAGGCAGGGAGGGCUGUGGCCGGUGAUCAAGGACUCCCUGCCUCUGCGGAAGGCGUAUCAUGGCGGGCAUGGUGAGCCACCCUUAAUGGAGAGUGCCGAAAACAGGGUAGCAGCUGAUGGCUCCCCGCAGGGGGAGACCUGAUCUUCUCGGCGACUGGCGGGUAUCGCGAAUCGAGUCGAGCAAAUUGUUCUACUCAAUGAGCGGAUAAAUAGGGAGGUUAAGCCUCCUCCAGUCAGCGCUGCCGACGAGUCGGUGUGUACUAAGUGGAGGCCUCACGACCCUCCCACCUUUCCGUUUGCGAGGAACGCAUUGGGCCCUGACCCAUUAAGCCGGACCUCGUUGGUUAGUAGACUACACGCUGGUGGGCCCCGUACCCCUCGUCUUGCCACACUGAUGGGAAGUUCGGGCCUGAUGCUGAAGGCAAAGCUCUUAGCGCCGGCAUAGGGACAGUGAGAGUGGACAUCGUUGCUCUAUUCCGUUAGGUGACACCCAGCCUCCCCUGUUCACAGGUGUGUGGCAUCUCGCGCGGCGAGUCGAGACAUGUUUUGCCAAACAAUAUCAACUGGCCCUGUGGGCACCGAGAGGUGUCCCGGCAUGUCUUGUAAACGAGGAAAAUGGUGAUUGGUGACGGGUCAGAUCGUUGGGGGAAGCUGUGAACCUUCUGAUGGCCCGUAGCUGCGGCUGCGGGUGAUUAAGGGGGACGACAGCACUGGAUAUAGGUCGGAGCCGGACCUGAUAAUCGGCCGAUGGCUUCUGGAACAGGCCAUUCCCUAAAACUAGUUAACCGCAAUCAACCUCACCAUGAAUGUCAAAGAAACAGAUAAACGAGUUACAAGCGCAGUGCCUAGCGUCUUCCCACGGACUAGCGUCAGAUUAGAAGGCGGCUACGUGAAUGUUGGGGUUCAUGUAGAUAGCCCGGGUCUGGUAGUACGGACUCGGGACGGAUUACCCAAUACAGGUGCUCAAAGCGAGGCUAUAGCACCACUCCACACUAGUGAACAAAACGGUAACUCUGAUAAUACUAAUGAUAAAGUGGCUAGUGAUAACGAGGUUGGUAUGGGUAACACAAUUAACGAUGACCUUCUAACCAGACCAAGAGUCAGCUGCGUUCAUCCCGCAGCAGGUGGUGAAGAGGAAAGAGCUUGGCAGGAGCUCUGCUACGAUUGUGGCCUAAUAAUCUGUAGAAUCAACGACUGUGGUCGUAGUUUUGGUUGUAGGCGGGGGUGUGCAGUACACCAGAGAAAAUAUCAUGCAGACAAGACCUGCGCAGUACUGGCGAACCGACUGAAGGGCAGAUCCAGACACCGGUGGUCAGAGGCAGAGCUAAAAUUGGCGGCAGUGAGAACUGUCAGGUGGCGUGAGGGGCUCGAUGAAACGAGGGGAUCCCUAUGGGAGACCAAUGAAAUUGCAAGGGAUCUGGGCAGAUCCUUUGAAUCAGUGAAAAGCCUACGUCGUGGAAAGCCAUGCAAUGUCAAAUUCACCGAGGCGCUGAGAGUGGCAGCGCUGGAACUGCAGCAACAGUCGACGCAGAGGUCGUCAGUUGAAGAGGAUGAGACCACACCGUUGCUGAGCGACAGUGAUACUGAGCUCGCAACGCCCUGGGAAGCUGCCGCUGUAAAGCGGCCUCUUCCUCAAGUAUACACCUUAGCUGAACAGGUCGAUCCCUUGUCGCUAGAGGGGCUGGAGGGACGACCGAAGCGGCUAAGACUGAACCACUUAAUAGACGAGAACAGAGACAGCAGUGGAGAUCUGGCACCAGGAGCGGGUGUCGAUGAGAUCGAUGACGCAGAGAAUCACAGAAUCCCGGUACUUGAGCACUGGGGAGACCGAACGCGUCUGGGUCGCGCGUUGGGCGGUGUAUCCUUCGACUUGAUAUCAAAGAAAGGGGCCGCACAGUUCAAUAUGAGAUCCCUGUUGGAGGCGCUCAGUAGAGGUACGAGCAGGGCCUGGUUAGACAGACUGACGGAGACACUCUUCCCCUCUAGGGCGGAGAGAAUGUCACUGGUCGGGCAGGAUCCAAGGCCUAAGGACAAGGGAAUGACUCGCAAACAACGGCGGAGACAUCAAUACCGGAGGCUUCAGAAACAGUAUAGUAAGGAUCCCACGGGAGCAGCUAGGGACGUGUUAAGCGGGACAUUUGAUAAGCCCGGGCGGACUCUCCCUCACGAGGAGUUGUUCAGCCACUGGACAAGCGUGUUCUCUGAGCCGAGCCUGCCGGAUGAUAGAUCAUUUGCUAACAAUGAACCCCGUUGGAACUGUGUCGACGUGAUUACUUCUGAAGAGAUUAGAGUGAACUUACUAGGAACUAAAGGUGUGGCUGGGCCUGACGGGUGGUUUUGGAGUGACCUCAAGCAGCAGCAACAUGACCUGCUGGCAAGUUACUAUAACUUGUGGAUAUGCCUUGGUGAUCUUCCCACCAGAAUGCUUAAAGGUACUACAACUCUGAUCCCGAAGGAAAUUGGAACGCAUGACAUAGCUAAACACCGACCUAUCACGGUAACGUCAACAAUAGGGCGGUUGUUCGACAGAAUCGUUGGUAGGCGCCUGGAGAAGUCACUCCCCAUCUGUGAGAGGCAAAGAGGAUUCAGGGAGGGUGAUGGGCUGUUCCUCAACGUGAAGCUCCUCGAGGCUCUUAUCAAGAGAUCCACAAGCAAACUGAGACCGCUAGCUGCCUGUUUCUUGGAUGUUAAGGGGGCGUUCGAUCGCGUCUCCCAUCAGAGCGUGAUCCUAGCUUGUAAGCGCCUCGGGGUCCCGCCACCGCUGAUCAGAUACUUUGAGAACCUCUACUCGGGGUCCGAAACAAGGUUAAAAUACGGCGGCUGGUUGUCAGAGCCAGUAAGAGUGACCAGGGGUGUGAAGCAAGGCGCACCCAGCAGUUGCGUGCUGUUCAAUGCAGUGAUUGACAUGGCGAUAGAAGAUCUCAGUGACUCCUAUGGGUUAUCACUUGGAGGGAGCAUUGGGAGGGUAUCACACCUACUGUUUGCUGAUGACGCAGUGAUUCUGGCUGAGAACCCUACAAUACUGCAAGAACAGGUCACGUUGUACGAGAAUUCCUUAGCAAAGGUGGGACUUUCCCUGAACCCACUGAAAAGUGCCAGCUUGGUCAUACUAACAGACCGAAAGCGGAAGCAGUGGGUGAUGGACGCCAGCGCUGAGAUCUGUGUAGGCGGAUCUGCUAUGCCAGCUCUUGGGCCUAACAGCUCUUAUAAAUAUCUUGGCAUCCAAAUGGGUGCCACUGGCAUAGACAUCAGCGGCUGUGCGGCUGAGUUCACACUCAAGCUUGAACGCCUACAGAAAGCACCAUUUGAGCAAACACAACGGAUGAAGGUACUUGAAACGAACCUGAUACCCCAGUAUACUCAUGCCUUAGUCAUUGGAAUGGCCAGAAAGAAACUACUAAAAGCCAUGGAUGUUAAGAUCAGAGGUGCAGUUAGUCGAUGGCUGAAGAUACCUGCGCACACAAAAGUAGAAGUCAUUCACGCCAGAGUAGGGGACGGAGGUCUGGGCGUUACAAGGCUAGCCCACACGAUCCCAGUGCUCCAGAAGGGGCGUAUGGACAGGCUUGCAUAUACGCCGUCUGAGGACAAAGCUGUUGGUUGGCUGAUUGAGAGCGAGUGCUUCAAGGAAUAUCAAAAGCGACUGGCAGGUGCUAGGCGUCAUGCAGGUAUUACCCUGUCCACGCCGGCAGACGUUGCUGAGGCAGCCAGAAAUGAACUGCUCAAAUCAGUUGACGGGAAAGGGCUGCAAGGCCACAACCUGGUCAAAGCCAGCAGCGACUGGGUAAGUGGAGACCUUAACCUGACUCAGGGACAGUAUAAAAGCUACGUGCUCCUCAGGGCGGGUCUCCUGCACACCCCGGUGCGCAGGGCCAGACUCACCAAAGAUAGGAGUGACGCAGCCUGCGACAGCUGUGGAGAACCAGCCUUCUUGGGCCACAUCCUUCAGAACUGUGCCAGGACACACCGUAGUCGUCUGGAUAGACACAACGGCGUCUGUGAGAAGGUCGCGUCACGCCUCAAAGAGAAGGGUCACACUGUGACCUCUGAGACCAGGAUUAAAUGGAAGAAUCCAGAAGGGGGCUGCUUUUCCAGAGUGCCCGACCUAAUAGCGGUCAAAGGUUCGGAAGCUUGGGUGCUGGACGUUACGAUCUGCAGCGACAUGAUGGACACUGACGUGGUGUUUGGGGACAAAGUUAAAAGGUACGAUGUCCCUGAGAUUUGGCGAUGGUUGCGGGCGGAACACAGUGUCGAACAUGUCAACUUUGCUGGGAUUGUGAUAAACUGGAGAGGGAC
rnacentral:rRNA from 1 species